rnacentral:rRNA from 1 species
GAUGAACGCUGGCGGCGUGCUUAACACAUGCAAGUCGAACGAAGCACUUUAACCUGAUUCUUCGGAUGAAGGUUUUUGUGACUGAGUGGCGGACGGGUGAGUAACGCGUGGGCAACCUGCCUCAUACAGGGGGAUAACAGUUAGAAAUGACUGCUAAUACCGCAUAAGACCACGGAGUCGCAUGGCUCAGUGGGAAAAACUCCGGUGGUAUGAGAUGGACCCGCGUCUGAUUAGGUAGUUGGUGGGGUAACGGCCUACCAAGCCAACGAUCAGUAGCCGACCUGAGAGGGUGACCGGCCACAUUGGGACUGAGACACGGCCCAAACUCCUACGGGAGGCAGCAGUGGGGAAUAUUGCACAAUGGGGGAAACCCUGAUGCAGCGACGCCGCGUGAGCGAAGAAGUAUUUCGGUAUGUAAAGCUCUAUCAGCAGGGAAGAAAAUGACGGUAC